GCACAGUGCAACGCCAAGGAACACCUCCUGAAACAUCUCCGCUGAGAAUCAAGACUAUUAUAUAUAAUACAUUUCAGUGACUACUGUACAUAUAGUUUCUGGCUCUUAGAGAAACAUAAUGGAUUCAUUAUGGAAAACAAAGACUUUCAAUAUUUUCCAGUCAUCAUUCCUCAACCUCGUUCAUCGGAUGGCUCCUCAUAUACUGUUGAAAACAGCAUUGUAAGAAGAGGGCUCUGCCUGUGGCUUCCACAGAAGUCAGGCCGGGACAUGCCUUUCAUAAAAUCAUUAACAUCAUGAAAUGUUGUCUACACUUUUAUAAGGGUCUCAUAUAAGCCUUAAACUCUGGCAGCAUGGAGGAUGACCUUGUACAUCUGAUCCUCCUGCCUCCACUUCCUGAAUGCUGGGACAGCAGGCAUGGACCGUUUAUGCGGUGUUGGAGACUCAACCCAGGGCCUGGUGCAUACAGACAAGUGCUCAUCGCCUGAGGGAAUGACCUGAAAGGAUUUAGAGUGUGCGCUGCUCUCCCAGAGGACCUGAGUUCCCAGUAUCUAUAACUUCAGCUCAAGGGGAUCUGAUGUCUCUGGCCUCUGCGCACAUGGAAGCCAGAGGUCGUAUUGUAUCUUCCUUUGCAUCCUGUUUUUGAAAAAGAGCAGUAAACCUGCAGCUUAUCCAUUUGAAGAGGCUGAAGUUGGUUAGUAAACACGAAGGACCUUCCUGUCUCCACUUCCCUGACUGGAUUACAAGAGUGUGUCAUAGCACUCAGAGUUUUAUGAUGCAGGGGAUCCAAACCUAGGUUUCAUGCCUGUGCAGCAAGCACUUUACUAACUUCCCAGUCCUCUUGUGAACAUGUGACAGUAUUUCAAGCA